AGAGUUUGAUCCUGGCUCAGGACGAACGCUGGUGGCGUGCUUAACACAUGCAAGUCGAGCGGUAAGGCCCUUUCGGGGGUACACGAGCGGCGAACGGGUGAGUAACACGUGGGUGACCUGCCCUCCACUCUGGGAUAAGCCCGGGAAACUGGGUCUAAUACCGGAUAGGACCACUGAUCGCAUGGUUGGUGGUGGAAAGUUUUUUCGGUGGGGGAUGGGCCCGCGGCCUAUCAGCUUGUUGGUGGGGUGAUGGCCUACCAAGGCGGUGACGGGUAGCCGGCCUGAGAGGGCGACCGGCCACACUGGGACUGAGACACGGCCGAGACUCCUACGGGAGGCAAGCAGUGGGGAAUAUUGCGCAAUGGGCGGAAGCCUGACGCAGCGACGCCGCGUGGGGGAUGACGGCCUUCGGGUUGUAAACCUCUUUCGCCAGGGACGAAGAGCAAUUGACGGUACCUGGAGAAGAAGCACCGGCCAACUACGUGCCAGCAGCCGCGGUAACACGUAGGGUGCGAGCGUUAUCCGGAAUUAUUGGGCGUAAAGAGCUCGUAGGCGGUGUGUCGCGUCGGCCGUGAAAACUUGGGGCUUAACUCUGAGCGUGCGGUCGAUACGGGCAUCACUUGAGUUCGGCAGGGGAGACUGGAAUUCCUGGUGUAGCGGUGAAAUGCGCAGAUAUCAGGAGGAACACCGGUGGCGAAGGCGGGUCUCUGGGCCGAUACUGACGCUGAGGAGCGAAAGCGUGGGGGAGCGAACAGGAUUAGAUACCCUGGUAGUCCACGCCGUAAACGUUGGGCGCUAGGUGUGGGGACCAUUCCACGGUUUCUGUGCCGCAGCUAACGCAUUAAGCGCCCCGCCUGGGGAGUACGGCCGCAAGGCUAAAACUCAAAGGAAUUGACGGGGGCCCGCACAAGCGGCGGAGCAUGGUGGAUUAAUUCGAUGCGACGCGAAGAACCUUACCUGGGUUUGACAUGCACCAGACAUCCCUAGAGAUAGGGCUUCCCUUGUGGUUGGUGUGCAGGUGGUGCAUGGCUGUCGUCAGCUCGUGUCGUGAGAUGUUGGGUUAAGUCCCGCAACGAGCGCAACCCUUGUUCCAUGUUGCCAGCACGUAAUGGUGGGRACUCAUGGGAGACUGCCGGGGUCAACUCGGAGGAAGGUGGGGAUGACGUCAAGUCAUCAUGCCCCUUAUGUCCAGGGCUUCACACAUGCUACAAUGGCUCAUACAGAGGGCUGCGAGACCGUGAGGUGGAGCGAAUCCCUUAAAGUGAGUCUCAGUUCGGAUCGGGGUCUGCAACUCGACCCCGUGAAGUUGGAGUCGCUAGUAAUCGCAGAUCAGCAACGCUGCGGUGAAUACGUUCCCGGGCCUUGUACACACCGCCCGUCACGUCACGAAAGUUGGUAACACCCGAAGCCGGCGGCCCAACCCUUGUGGAGGGAGCUGUCGAAGGUGGGACUGGCGAUUGGGACGAAGUCGUAACAAGGUAGCCG
rnacentral:rRNA from 1 species